AAGGGAGGUUGUUUGUUUCACUGGGACGUUCCCCACUCCCGGACCGGGAAAGUUGUAAAUAUGGGGACGAUCAGGGCACAUUUGCUGUUAGUUGUAUUGUUUCCGCCUCCCCACUAGCUACGGCUCCACUCCCGGGCGAGGCCUGUCACCGACCAGCAGUCGCUCCGCUCAGCCCGGAGCUCUCCUAAUCCCCGAGCUCAAGUAGAUUCCGCUGGCCCGCGGCCUGCACUCUCCGCCGGGCCUACGCCUCCCCGGCCGCCCAGCAGGAGCCCAGUCCCCGCCACCGGAGCCGGCCGGGAGAGGGUACAAAACCACCGCUACCCAAGGCGGCUGCCACCAGAGAGGAGCGAACUCUAGACUCGCCUGUGGAAGAGACCUGGGGCCGCUAAGGAAACGGCGGGGAGGGGAGCGAGGAGGAGAGACGCUGAGGACCUGGCGCCGGCGCCGCCGCCGCCGCCGCCGAAAUAAAGAGCAGGAAUUUACCUGGGCGAAUCGGCGUCUGAAUCCAAGGGGAGGCCGAGGCCGCUGUGGCGAGAGACUAUAAUCCGGGCCGGGAGGGGGGGUGGCUACGGCUCCUCUUCCGUCUCCUCAGUGCGGGGAACAUGUAGAGCCGGGGGGAGACCAGCCGAGAAGACAAAUCGUUGCUUCUUCUUCCUCCUCCUCCUCCUUCUCCCACAUAGAAACACUCACAAACACCCGACCACGGGCCCGAGCUACCGGGGGGGCAUCGCCGCGGGCCCGGGAACCAAUUCUCCUGUCGGCGGGGGCGUCCCUCCCUGCGGCUUGGUGGUGUCGGAACAAAAUGCCGACCGGAAGUGCAGCUGCAGGAAUGACUCCCUCCGCCGGCGCCAAACACUAACAACCACCCCCUCUUCCCCACUCCACUUCCGCCACCGCCGCAGCCGCCGCUGCCGCCACUUGGGCUCGCGUCCUCGGCCGCGCCGCGCGGCACCCGGGCCCAGCAGCCGGGAGGCGGCAGCUCUCCUCUACGCCCGUCCCCUCAGGGCGGCUGUGGAUGUUGCCAGUAUUGUCGAUGCUUCAGAGCGACGUUUGCCCUGCGACACAGGCGGGCCGGCUCUCCUCUGUCUUUAUUUUCCUGGAGGCCGACAGGAGCGGGGCCCGAGUUCGGUGGUGGUCGUGAGCGUGGGGGGCACUCAGGCCCGGACGGGCUCUCAGGUCGCCGACGGCGGCGGCUGGAGGCCGCGCUGGCUGUCCCAGGUCGUCGUUAGCUUUAGGGAGCCGAUCUCCGGGCGGCCCCACAGAGGACGCCCGCGAUUCGAUGGCGAUGAUGCCCGUUUUAAAUGGUGUCCCUGCAGCCGGGUGGAUGGAUGGAUCGUACACCUUGCCUUUUGAGAGCCGGGACCUUACGCCCGACUGCGUGUUAUUUCUGCGAAUAAGAACGCAACCUUUGGAGGUGAAGACGACUGUCGGCUGGAUUGAAUUGGAAUCGUGUUUGUGAUGAUGCGUUUAUUUCUGGAAAUACGCGGUCUCCGCUGCUUUUGCUUUUUGUCGGCAGAGGUUUGGGUUCUUCUCUAACGGUCAGGAUAAAGGCCUGUAGGCGACGCUGCGCGAGCGAGAAGCUCGCCCGCGGCUGCCCGGGCGCCCCCCUCUAGGUGUGGGUGGAGCCGAGCGCGCGGGGAGAACCGCCGGCCCCGACUCAGCCACCGGUGACUGCGGGCGACCCGCGGGCCUGCGGCCAGCUGAUUUCAAACAUCGUUUUCCUCUUUAGGUUCGGAAAACUGAGGCGCUGGACAAGGCUGGAAUACAAUAUGUGAUUAUACGUACAGUACUAUGGUUGUUGUAGUUUUUAAAUUGUAAAACAAGAAGUAACCAUUGUUCCACCGUUCUCUAUUAAGUUUGUGUAAAUUAAAAAGGGGCUAUUUUCGGUAAAAAGUGCAGUAGGUAAGCGGAAUUUUACUCAACCGGGACGAAAUUCGUGUUAUAUGAAUUGUAUUGUGUAUUUGUGUGUGUACCAGUGCGCUAAAAGUAAGUAGGAAAACUUGCUUAGAUUAUUCCUUUUGCCUCAGGCCACUCAGGGGGCCAAGAUCCUGUCACUCCUUUUCUCUAGGCCCUGCGAAUGGCUUCCCGUCUUGAGGGGAGUGAGCCAAAGCCUUGACUGCGGCAGAAGUCCCCGCGCGCCGUUGAGGGUGGGGGCGGGCCUGCCCUGGCAUCCUUGCGAGUAGGACUCUUCCCUGAGCGUCGUCCACAGGGCUUGCUCCUUCACCUUCAGGAUUUUGCUCGUGUCACUCGGUGCUUCCGCGGCUACUUUUAAACUGAAAGUUCCCUAGCCCCCUUCUCAUUUUAUCCUUUGGACAGUCUACAUAUCCAUACUUGUUUAUCUUCUUAUCUCUCCUUCCCCAGUGCAAUGUAAGCUCUAAGAGGACAAGAGGUUGUGUUUUUCUGCACUGGUGUUACGGCCCCCGCCUAGAAUGCCACACAGUAGAUGCGUAGUAUGUGGUUAAGGAAUGAAUGCGAUUAUAAGGGCCUUGAUGCUCCCCCAUUUCUGUCUUUAAUAUGUACUUAUAUGCUACAGAGAGCUUUAUAAAAGAUUUAAAACACGUUUAUUACAGAAUUCUAUAAAAAUAUAUUGCUUCUAAACAUUGGAAAGCCCUCCACAACACCAGAAACCCACAAAUGAGGGAUAAAAUUUGUUUUUAGGCUUCUGUAAAUGAGCAUGCCCGAGGACAGUGCAUCAAAUGAUCAUAUCCAUACUGGGCCGAUUAUGUUUGCUCUUCUGAGUCUCAAACUGCAUUCUUCAUCUUGUCGUCCUCUGUCUUUCAAAAUACAUUAAAAGUGAGAAUUUGGUUGGCUCAGAGCAAAUCCAGCACUAUUGGAAAAGUUCAUUCAGCAAGUAUUUAUUGGGCACAAAUGGGUACCAGGCACGCUAAUUCAAAAGGUGUGUGUUUCUGAGGCUAGAAGGCCUUACAUAAAGGACCACAUGUGGCUACUUUGGUUGCUACUCAAUUAUGCUGUCAAGCAAAGCAAAUGCUAGUGAAAUUUAUUUUUAGUUUUCUUCUGAAGAAAAGGUUCAAUGAAAGCUGAGGUCAGGCUUGGUGUGGAUAUUUUAAUUCACCAUUUAGUUUGCUGUUUGCUUACACUUAGGUUAGCAUUAGAUAUACUUAAUCAUGAUUUUUGAGUACUAUAAAACGUGAGAAAUCUUAUUUCCUAGUGGCUGGAAAAACAGGCUUUUUAAAUUAAAAUAAGUAAAUAUAUCAGUAAGCUAGAAGCUAUGCAAUAAGGCUUUGGCUAUGGUAUUACAAAUUUUCAUAUUUCAUGUAUUGAAUUUUUGGACAAGAAAAGACAGCCUUGAUAGGUAUUUUAUAACCAUUAAUACAAUUAAUCAAACAUUGUUUAGUAAAUCCAAUCGUCUAUUCAUUAUUAUUUUUCCCAUUAAUCUUCAGAACAGCUUUAAGUUAAUACAGAUGACUCAGAAUGUGUUUUUCACUCAGUUUCAAAAUACCAUUAUUUCAAUUCGCUAAUAGAAGCACAAUUAUCUUCUUGUCUGCUUUCUUAAAUGUUACUGGUAAACUAGUAAUUUUGCAUGUCCAGGUAACUGCAGCUGCUACAGUCAAUCUGCUUUGGAAAGUCUUGGCAUUAUUGUGUCAUUUAAUUUAAAAUUUUUAAGUUUUUUUAGUUUCUUCCCUUAUUGAGGACUUAUUAGGCGCUAAUUAGCUUUAUGCUAGACAUCUCAUGCAUGGCAGUGAAUGAAAACAACACUGCCUUUGAGGGUUUUAACUUGUAUAUAGUUUAUACCAUUUUUUUUCCAGGUUAUAGAAUCAAAGAAAUUGUUUCAAUUCAUAUCACAGUAUUUCUCUAUUAAAUCAAAUGGUAUUUUGCUUGCAUAAAUUUAAGUAUCCAAGUUGAGAUCUUACAUAGAAUCUGUUAAUCUAAUAUUAGUGUUUUCUUCAUUUCAUUGUCUUGGGUUUUUUUUUCUUAAUAAUUAUUUUUCCCAAUACCAUCCAUUUGUUUUGCUCUUACAUUUUUAAGUCUUUUAUGUUCCAAAUCAGGUGACUUACAUCCUCCACUUGUCCAUUGAGGAUAGCCCAGUAAACCUUUAUUCUGACUUUAAAUUGCCUCCUUGCUUCAAGAACUGAGUUGCAUGACUCAGUUUUCUUUGCUAGAAAUAUCCCUGGAUAGUCUCGUAUGUAUUCUUGAUCAAUGAAUUGCAGAAGAUUUGAUUAAAAAUUUUAAAUGGAUUUCAGGGAUAAACUAUUUGUAUCAAAUGUCAUCACCAGGAAUUUCUACAACUGAAAAAUUUGAAUUGUUAUUUUUAUUGAAGAAUAUUUAUCUUUAAGAUAAAUGCAACUUGCUAUAAAAUGAUAGAAAUGAAAAAUUUUAGAAAAUCAUUUUCUACUCACUAUUUUAUGCCUGCCAGUUAUCCUUUGUUAGUGAUAAAAUUGUCUUUUAUGGGAACGAAUUUGUUAAAGGUAGAAAAAAAACUGGUAGUGUAUGUAUGUUUUAUAGAUUAGACACUACCAAAAUUAUUUAACAUUUAGAAUAAUUAACUUGCUUUCAGGAUGACAGAUGACUUAAGAAACUGAUGAAGGGUUAAUUAAGGAUAUUGAUUUUUAGGGCAGAACUACAAAAUUAUCAAAUCACUUAACACUGUAAAUAUGUUCCUGUUUCAGGUUUUCAAAGUAAAUACCUUAAUCAAAUUUGGAAAUAGUAUUUAUGGAUUUUAUUCAACAUAGAUUAUCUAUUUUGUUAAAAUUAUAGAAAUGAACAGUUCUUUUCCCAUGGAUGCCUUUUUUCAUCUUGGCCUAUUCUGAUCCUUUAAGAACAAGCUUUGUCCUUUCAUUAAUACUUCUCACCUAUAAUUACGAAUUUUCUCUAAACUUGUAGAUUUUAUUAUCCAUGCCAUCUAUUUAUAAUCCUAUGACACUCCUAUAUUGUUUAUGGUUUUUUUGUUUUUUUUUGUUUUUUUUUUUAGACGAAGUCUUGCUCUGUCACCCAGGCUGGAGUGCAGUGGUGCAAUCUCGGCUCACUGCAAGCUCCGCCUCCCGGUUCACGCCAUGCUUCUGCCUCAGCCUCCCCAGUACCUGGGACUACAGGCGCCCACCACCACGCCCGGCUAAUUUUUUGUACUUUUAGUAGAGAUGGGGUUUCACCGUGUUAGCCAGGAUGGUCUCCAUCUCCUGACCUCGUGAUCCCCCGGCCUCGGCCUCCCAAAGUGUUGGGAUUACAGGCGUGAGCCACUGUGCCUGGCCUUACUGUUUAUGUUUUCAUGCAUCUAUACCUUAUGUUACUAAAUCAAAGUGACCAGUUCCACAUUAUACUACAAGUUUCACUGUGUAAUGCAUAAGAAUUACACAGAGGGAAGGGCCUCAAAAAAUGCACUUCUGAAGUAUUUUAAUGUAAAAUUAUUUAAGACCAUAAAGUUUCAUGAAAGCCUAAUCUUUCUGGAACCUACACAUACUCUGCAUGUGAACCAGAGUUAAACUAGUCAAGUAUUUUAAUACUGAACUAAUCUGGAAAAACAUCAUUUAAAAAAUUACUGUAUUUAUGAAGGAAGAAUAUAAAAUCUGUUAAAAACUUAAAACAUCUAAAAUAGGUAUGAAGAGAGGCUUAUGGUGCUCAUUUUAACAGCAUUCUUGAGUAGGUUACCUUGCAGUCAAAGCAUCUGCUCCAGACCAGUGUUUUAAACUGUGGAUUAUGGUACCACUAUGGGUCAUGAAAUUAAUUUAUUGCAUUAUGACUAGCAUUUUUUAUUUAAAAUAGAGAAAAGAAUAGAAAAUAAAAGCGUACAUCACAGAUGGUAAGGGUAUGUGUUUUUAAGUAAACAUUUGUUCAUGUGUAUAUGUGUUAGAUUACCUUGUAAAACAUAUUCCUUAUUGUGGGUUACAGGCCAAAAAAAGUGUUUGUUUUUGUUUUUAAAAAUCUACAGUUCAGAUUUUCCUUAGAAAAUGGGGAAAAAAGGAAUGUUAGAAAGAUCUGACUGCCUAUGAACUAGUGAAGGAUUUUAGAGGAAGUACCAGGCUAUUUUAGAGAUCUGAUACUGGUUUCAGAAAGGUAAUCUUAAGGCAAAGGGUAGGAAAUAAAGUUAUGUUGUUAGUAGAAAUGUCAAAUACGGUUAAAGUUGUGAGGAGGAAUUAUUUUCCUAGUGGACCUACAUUUGUUGUGUGUAGAUCUGUGACUAUUACUGAUCUGUUGUAGCACAUUUUCCAAUCUAAAAUGUCCGAUACAGCACAAUAAUAAACAUGGGGCAGAAUAUAUGUUUGUUUCUAUUUCUUCCCACCUUCCCUUCAAUCUUAAAACAAGUGUUUAUUAAUAAGUCAGACCAAAGCAAAUUUCUAUCUUUCACAGAGUAAUUAUCAUAGGAACAAAUUACUCCCUGAAAAUGGUGGAAACUUCUUUCUCCCUCCGAAAAAUAAACUUUCAAUAAGUGUUUUCUCUCUAGCCAAAGUAAAUAAGUUCUUAAAUAGGUAACUCUCAUUUGCCAUCCAACUCAUUCUAUAUAUUUAAAUAAAUGUACUUACACUUGUGUAUAGGAUUUAAAAGGGGGAAACUUAAGAAGGAAGAAAUUGUGUAUAGAAUUUAAAAAGGAGGCAUUAUAUUGCAUGAGUAGAAUGAAAAGUAUCUAACCAGAAAGCAAAUAAGUUAAGGAUUAUAUUAUACUGAAAUAUUUUAAUACAAUUUAAAUAUUUCAUUACUCUUUCACUUUAUUUGCUAUUUGUAGAUUUCAGUAUUGUAAUGUUGGCAAGUCUAUUUAAGACGGCAUUAAUAAAAAUUUUGUUUUUCAGGCAUGUGAUACCAAGUCCCUUUCCAUUAUAGAUAAGUAAGGCCUAGGUUGGUUAAAACCUUAGCUAAACACAAAAUUUGCUAGAGAAUCAACAUAUAAGAAGCUCUAACUCCAAGCUUAUUCACCCCAGAUAUUUCACCAAUGUUAACACAUACCCUAUUGAACUAAGAAAGGAAUUAUAUUACUAACCAGCAGAGGGAGCCAAGUCAAUCAUGAAAGGUAGGAGUAUAAAGGAACAUCAUAUGACUUCCUGUUUUGAAUUUAACUGUAUGGCCCCUGCUCACUUUUUGAGUUUACCAAAAAGACAGUCAUAAGGAGAGAAAGGCGACCAAUGUAUCAAAUAAGGAUACAGUGACAAUUAUAACUUAGAAUUACCUUGCAGGAAAUAAAUUGGAAGAAAAAUUGAAUGCAGAACUAUACAAGUGAAAUGUCUCAGUAUUAUAACCCAAGAUGGAAAAACCAUGGAAAACAGUACCUUAAUGCCAUGAUGAAUUGCUAGCCAAAUGUAACAGUGAAUAUUUCUUAAUAAUUCCAUUUUCACUUAAAGUUGAAAUUAGGCCAUAAAUAGACACAUUUUAAAACUAUAAAGUUGUACAUCAAAUUUAUGUGCAUUUAAUCUAAGAAAUAAGGGA
rnacentral:lncRNA from 1 species